rnacentral:sRNA from 1 species
AGAGCGUCCCCCGGCGAGGACGAGCGAGCACGGCGCCCGCACCUCCCGCGCUGCGCGCCCGGAGGAGCGACCGCCGCCGUUCUCGAGCUCCAGCUGCAUUCCCUCCGCGUCCGCCCCACGCUUCUCCCGCUCCGGGCCCCGCAAUGGCCCAGGCAGUGUGGUCGCGCCUCGGCCGCAUCCUCUGGCUUGCCUGCCUCCUGCCCUGGGCCCCGGCAGGGGUGGCCGCAGGACCCAGAUGGUGACUGAAGACUCCGUGGUCUAUUAUAACUAUUCCAUCAUCGGGACCUUCACCGUGAAGCUCAAAGUGGUGGCGGAGUGGGAAGAGGUGGAGCCGGAUGCCACGAGGGCUGUGAAGCAGAAGACCGGGGACUUCUCCGCCUCGCUGAAGCUGCAGGAAACCCUUCGAGGCAUCCAAGUGUUGGGGCCCACCCUAAUUCAGACCUUCCAAAAGAUGACCAUGACCUUGAACUUCCUGGGGAGCCCUCCUCUGACUGUGUGCUGGCGUCUCAAGCCUGAGUGCCUCCCGCUGGAGGAAGGGGAGUGCCACCCUGUGUCCGUGGCCAGCACAGCGUACAACCU